GCCCGGGUGGCGGAAUGGCAGACGCUGAUGCCUCAAAAGCAUCUGCUCGAAAGGGCGUGUGGGUUCGAAUCCCACCCCGGGCA
rnacentral:tRNA from 2 species